rfam:Haemonchus contortus, ISE/inbred ISE, WGS project CAVP01000000 data, contig: Hcontortus_26580
GGCACGAACCUGGAGUAGAGUAGAUCAGUAUGGUCAGCUAAUCCUACUAAGCUACUUUACUUCGAAUCUGGGCCC